UUCUCUUAGUAUCUCUUGAGCGGUGGCAGGGGUAGGGUGCGCUGCUCCGUCCAGGCUGCGCGGGAAAGUGUGAGUGCUAGUCCUGUUGGAGCGACAGACAGACCAGCGCUGCGCCAAGUUUUCCAAGUUUAGGGAAGGUUCAGGAGUGUGUUCACCGCGCCCUCUGAUGUGUGAUCCGGCCGUUGCCUCGGUAAUGUGAAGGGACGGGUGACAGGAAGGACGCCAAGGAUAGUCCGCCAGAUCCUUCGCGUCGCACCGGAGACAACUUUAAUUCAAAACAUUUUCCCUUCAUACAAGUUCCGGGCUUACUGGAGGAACACUUUCAAAACUCUUAUGCUACUUUCUUUAAGGACUUCAGUUUUAGUCUUCACGUCCCCUCGUUUGUGUAACUUGCAUGACACUGCCUGGUGGUGACGGCCCUGAGCCUGACGUGUGGCUCCUGUCGUCCGAAUGGGGAGCAGCCGGGCAGCCCUGAGAGCAUCAGUGCCAAUCACCACCAGAACGAGGCUCCCUGGUAACCUGUCUCAAGGCCGCGCAGCCCUGUGCAACCCAUCAAGUCUGUAACCUCCCUUGCCGACCCUCGCUUCCCUCCCUGCUCCACCUUCCGGCAGCCUGUCACCUCGAGUAUGCCGGCGCUGCUCUGAGCCACAAGUCAACAUGGGAUUCAGGAGGGUGGCUCCCGUGGUUCGCAUCGGAGGGCGUGGGUGGCUCCGACUUGAUGCCCGCCACGCCGCCCUCACUGCUGCACUCUACACCAUA